rnacentral:rRNA from 1 species
CCCCUAGAUGUUCUGAGCCGCACGCGCGCUACACUGAACAGUUCAACAAGUCUUAACCUUGGCCGAUAGGUCUGGGUAAUCUUUGAACGCUGUUCGUGAUUGGGAUAGACCUUUGCAAUUAUGGGUCUUCAACGAGGAAUUCCUAGUAAACGCAAGUCAUCAGCUUGCAUUGAUUACGUCCCUGCCCUUUGUACACACCGCCCGUCGCACCUACCGAUUGAAUGGUCCGGUGAAAUCUCGGGACGGCGGCUUGGUCGCUUGCGUCCGACUGCUGAAACUUGAUUAAACCAUAUCAUUUAGAGGAAGGUGAANUCGUANCA